rnacentral:misc_RNA from 1 species
UUAAGUUCAGCGGGUAUUCCUACCUGAUCCGAGGUCAACCUUGGUGCCGCCGAAGCGGACUUGUGGGGGGUUUAGAGGCAGGACGCCGAGGACUCCCAAUGCGAGGCGAAUGCUACUGCGCAAAGGAGAGGGCCCUUCGGGUCCGCCACUGGUUUUAGGGGCCUGCCGUGGCAGAUCCCCAACGCCGGGCCACAGGGGCU